rnacentral:tRNA from 1 species
GCCGACUUAGCUCAGCUGGUAGAGCACCCGCCUUGUAAGCGGACGGUCGUCAGUUCGAUUCUGACAGUCGGCUCCA